rnacentral:misc_RNA from 1 species
AACGCACCUUGCGCUCCUUGGUAUUCCGAGGAGCAUGCCUGUUUGAGUGUCAUUAAAUUCUCAACCUUACCAGUUUUCACAAACUUGGUAAUGGCUUGGAUGUGGGGGUUAUUUUGCUGGCUUCGUUAAGAAGUCUGCUCCCCUUAAAUGUAUUAGCUGGUGCCCCGUGUGGAUCCGUCUAUUGGUGUGAUAAUUAUCUACGCCGUGGAUGUCUACUUUAAAUGGGAUGUGCUGCUUCUAACCGUCCAUUAAGUUGGACAAUUAAUGACAAUUUGACCUCAAAUCAGGUAGGACUACCCGCUGAACUUAA